UACGUAUGGUGCAAGCGUUAUCCGGAUUUACUGGGUGUAAAGGGAGCGUAGGCGGCACGUUAAGUCUGAUGUGAAAACCCGAGGCUCAACCACGGGAGUGCAUUGGAAACUGGCGUGCUGGAGUGCCGGAGAGGUAAGCGGAAUUCCUAGUGUAGCGGUGAAAUGCGUAGAUAUUAGGAGGAACACCAGUGGCGAAGGCGGCUUACUGGACGGCAACUGACGCUGAGGCUCGAAAGCGUGGGGAGCAAACAGG
rnacentral:rRNA from 1 species